rnacentral:rRNA from 1 species
AGUUGGUGAGGUAACGGCUCACCAAGACCGCGAUCGGUAGCCGGACUGAGAGGUUGAACGGCCACAUUGGGACUGAGACACGGCCCAGACUCCUACGGGAGGCAGCAGUGGGGGAUAUUGCGCAAUGGGGGCAACCCUGACGCAGCAACGCCGCGUGAAGGAUGAAGGUUUUCGGAUUGUAAACUUCUUUUAUUAAGGACGAAAAAUGACGGUACUUAAUGAAUAAGCUCCGGCUAACUACGUGCCAGCAGCCGCGGUAAUACGUAGGGAGCAAGCGUUGUCCGGAUUUACUGGGUGUAAAGGGAGCGCAGGCGGGAAGACAAGUUGGAAGUGAAAUCUAUGGGCUCAACCCAUAAACUGCUUUCAAAACUGUUUUUCUUGAGUAGUGCAGAGGUAGGCGGAAUUCCCGGUGUAGCGGUGGAAUGCGUAGAUAUCGGGAGGAACACCAGUGGCGAAGGCGGCCUACUGGGCACCAACUGACGCUGAGGCUCGAAAGUGUGGGUAGCAAACAGGAUUAGAUACCCUGGUAGUCCACACCGUAAACGAUGAUUACUAGGUGUUGGAGGAUUGACCCCUUCAGUGCCGCAGUUAACACAAUAAGUAAUCCACCUGGGGAGUACGACCGCAAGGUUGAAACUCAAAGGAAUUGACGGGGGCCCGCACAAGCAGUGGAGUAUGUGGUUUAAUUCGACGCAACGCGAAGAACCUUACCAAGUCUUGACAUCCUGCGACGCACAUAGAAAUAUGUGUUUCCUUCGGGACGCAGAGACAGGUGGUGCAUGGUUGUCGUCAGCUCGUGUCGUGAGAUGUUGGGUUAAGUCCCGCAACGAGCGCAACCCUUACUGUCAGCUACUACGCAAGAGGACUCUGGCAGGACUGCCGUUGACAAAACGGAGGAAGGUGGGGAUGACGUCAAAUCAUCAUGCCCUUUAUGACUUGGGCUACACACGUACUACAAUGGCGUUAAACAAAGAGAAGCAAGACCGCGAGGUGGAGCAAAACUCAGAAACAACGUCCCAGUUCGGACUGCAGGCUGCAACUCGCCUGCACGAAGUCGGAAUUGCUAGUAAUCGUGGAUCAGCAUGCCACGGUGAAUACGUUCCCGGGCCUUGUACACACCGCCCGUCACACCAUGAGAGCCGGGGGGACCCGAAGUCGGUAGUCUAACCGCAAGGAGGACGCCGCCGAAGGUAAAACUGGUGAUUGGGGUGAAGUCGUAACAAGGUAACCGUACUAGUACGCAGGCCA